GACAACGUAAUUUAAUGGAUAGAAUAUCAGAUUCCGAUUCUGAAAGUGAGAGUUCGAUUCUCUCCGUUGUUA
rnacentral:tRNA from 2 species